GAUGAACGCUGGCGGCGUGCCUAAUACAUGCAAGUCGAGCGAACGGACGAGAAGCUUGCCUCUCUGAUGUUAGCGGCGGACGGGUGAUUAACACGUGGAUAACCUACCUAUAAGACUGGGAUAACUUCGGGAAACCGGAGCUAAUACCGGAUAAGAUUUUGAACCGCAUGGUUCAAAAGUGAAAGACGGUCUUGCUGUCACUUAUAGAUGGAUCCGCGUUGCAUUAGCUAGUUGGUAAGGUAACGGCUUACCAAGGCAACGAUGCAUAGCCGACCUGAGAGGGUGAUCGGCCACACUGGAACUGAGACACGGUCCAGACUCCUACGGGAGGCAGCAGUAGGGAAUCUUCCGCAAUGGGCGAAAGCCUGACGGAGCCACGCCGCGUGAGUGAUGAAGGUCUUCGGAUCGUAAAACUCUGUUAUUAGGGAAGAACAUAUGUGUAAGUAACUGUGCCCAUCUUGACGGUACCUAAUCAGAAAGCCACGGCUAACUACGUG
rnacentral:rRNA from 1 species